UACGUAGGGGGCUAGCGUUGUCCGGAAUCAUUGGGCGUAAAGAGCGUGUAGGCGGUCCGGUAAGUCCGCUGUGAAAGCCGGGGGCUCAACCCUCGAAUGCCGGUGGAUACUGUCGGGCUAGAGUGCGGAAGAGGCGAGUGGAAUUCCUGGUGUAGCGGUGAAAUGCGCAGAUAUCAGGAGGAACACCUAUUGCGAAGGCAGCUCGCUGGGACGUAACUGACGCUGAGACGCGAAAGCGUGGGGAGCAAACAGG
rnacentral:rRNA from 1 species